rnacentral:sRNA from 1 species
UUGCGUUCGUGAUAAAAGCGGCAUCCUUUCCUUGCUUCCUUUAAGCAAGGAAAGAUAUAGCGGAUAGCGCGAUAAAAC